rnacentral:rRNA from 1 species
AAGUCGUAACAAGGUUUCCGUAGGUGAACCUGCGGAAGGAUCAUUAGUGAACGCCCUCACGGGCUUAUAACUAUUCCAAACCUCUGUGAACCGUGCCCUUCGGGGCUAUUUUACAAACAUGGUGUAAUGAACGUCAUAUAUCAUAACAAAACAAAACUUUCAACAACGGAUCUCUUGGCUCUCGCAUCGAUGAAGAACGCAGCGAAAUGCGAUAAGUAAUGUGAAUUGCAGAAUUCAGUGAAUCAUCGAAUCUUUGAACGCACCUUGCGCCCUCUGGUAUUCCGGAGGGCAUGCCUGUUUGAGUGUCAUGUAGACUCAAUCCCUCGGGUUUCCGAGGAGAUUGGACUUGGGUGUUGCCGCUCUGCCGGCUCGCCUUAAAAGACUUAGCGGGAUAGCACCGUAAUCGGCGUAAUAAGUUUCGUCGGUGAAGGUUGUGAUGACUGCUUACAAUCGCCCUCGGGCAAUUUUUGACUCUGACCUCAAAUCAGGUAGGACUACCCGCUGAACUUAA